rnacentral:sRNA from 1 species
UGCAUCUGUAGCCCAUGAGGAAGAGAACCUCCGGGGGGCAGGGAGGUUCGACUCGAGCGAAGCGAGAGAACGUUGCGCCAGCAACGGCCCGCAGGGCGAGCCACGAAGUGGCGAGUAAUCCUCUAUCACCGACCA